UGGGGAAUAUUGCNCAAUGGGCGAAAGCCUGACGCAGCGACGCCGUGUGAGGGAAGAAGGCUUUCGGGUCGUAAACCUCUGUCGGGAGGGAAGAACCCCCUAGGAGUCGAACAGGCUCUUGGGCUGACGGUACCUCCGAAGGAAGCACCGGCUAACUCCGUGCCAGCAGCCGCGGUAAUACGGAGGGUGCGAGCGUUAAUCGGAAGCACUGGGCGUAAAGCGCACGUAGGCGGUGCCGUAAGUCGGAUGUGAAAGCCCUCGGCUCAACCGGGGAACUGCAUUCGAUACUGCGGUGCCUGAGUGCCGGAGAGGGUGGCGGAAUUCCAGGUGUAGGAGUGAAAUCCGUAGAUAUCUGGAGGAACACCAGUGGCGAAGGCGGCCACCUGGCCGGCAACUGACGCUGAGGUGCGAAAGCGU
rnacentral:rRNA from 1 species